UCGUAACAAGGUAGCCAAGGGCGAAUUCUGCAGAUAUCCAUCACACUGGCGGCCGCUCGAGCAUGCAUCUAGAGGGCCCAAUUCGCCCUAUAGUGAGUCGUAUUACAAUUCACUGGCCGUCGUUUUACAACGUCGUGACUGGGAAAACCCUGGCGUUACCCAACUUAAUCGCCUUGCAGCACAUCCCCCUUUCGCCAGCUGGCGUAAUAGCGAAGAGGCCCGCACCGAUCGCCCUUCCCAACAGUUGCGCAGCCUGAAUGGCGAAUGGACGCGCCCUGUAGCGGCGCAUUAAGCGCGGCGGGUGUGGUGGUUACGCGCAGCGUGACCGCUACACUUGCCAGCGCCCUAGCGCCCGCUCCUUUCGCUUUCUUCCCUUCCUUU
rnacentral:rRNA from 1 species